ACGCUGGCGGCACGCCUAACACAUGCAAGUCGAACGAAGUAGCAAUACUUAGUGGCAGACGGGUGAGUAACGUGUGGGUAUCUACCCUUUGGCCUGGAAUAACACGAGGAAACUUGUGCUAAUACCGGAUAAGUCUUUACGGAGAAAGCUUUAUGCACCAUUGGAUGAGCCCGCACUUGAUUAGUUUGUUGGUAGGGUAAUGGCCUACCAAGACUAUGAUCAAUAGCUGAUUUGAGAGGAUGAUCAGCCACAUUGGGACUGAGACACGGCCCAAACUCCUACGGGAGGCAGCAGUGGGGAAUCUUGCACAAUGGAGGAAACUCUGAUGCAGCGAUGCCGCGUGAGUGAAGAAGGCCUUUGGGUUGUAAAGCUCUUUCGUCGGGGAAGAAAAUGACUGUACCCGAAUAAGAAGGUCCGGCUAACUUCGUGCCAGCAGCCGCGGUAAUACGAAGGGACCUAGCGUAGUUCGGAAUUACUGGGCUUAAAGAGUUCGUAGGUGGUUGAAAAAGUUGGUGGUGAAAUCCCAGAGCUUAACUCUGGAACUGCCAUCAAAACUUUUCAGCUAGAGUAUGAUAGAGGAAAGCAGAAUUUCUAGUGUAGAGGUGAAAUUCGUAGAUAUUAGAAAGAAUACCAAUUGCGAAGGCAGCUUUCUGGAUCAUUACUGACACUGAGGAACGAAAGCAUGGGUAGCGAAGAGGAUUAGAUACCCUCGUAGUCCAUGCCGUAAACGAUGUGUGUUAGACGUUGGAAAUUUAUUUUCAGUGUCGCAGGGAAACCGAUAAACACACCGCCUGGGGAGUACGACCGCAAGGUUAAAACUCAAAUGAAUUGACGGGGACCCGCACAAGUAGUGGAGCAUGUGGUUUAAUUCGAAGAUACGCGCAGAACCUUACCAACACUUGACAUGUUCGUCGCGACUCUAAGAGAUUAGAGUUUUCGGUUCGGCCGGACGAAACACAGGUGCUGCAUGGCUGUCGUCAGCUCGUGUCGUGAGAUGUUGGGUUAAGUCCCGCAACGAGCGCAACCCUCACUUUUAGUUGCCAUCAUUAAGUUGGGCACUCUGAAAGAACUGCCAGUGAUAAGCUGGAGGAAGGUGGGGAUGACGUCAAGUCCUCAUGGCCCUUACGUGUUGGGCUACACACGUGCUACAAUGGCAUCUACAACAGGAAGCAAAACGGCAACGUUAAGCAAAUCCCGAAAAGAUGCCUCAGUUCGGAUUGCACUCUGCAACUCGAGUGCAUGAAGCUGGAAUUACUAGUAAUCGUGGAUCAGCGUGCCACGGUGAAUGCGUUCCCGGGUCUUGUACACACCGC
rnacentral:rRNA from 1 species